GGACAUGUUUGUUUCUUCACCACCCUUGAGUGCUUUUUGGAAAAAGUGGAAAACAGCGGGGCAGCUGGAAAACAAACAUUUUAUGUGAACGUUUGAUUUUCUUGGUAAUCAGAGCAACCUCCGUGUGCCUUACUUGAAGUAACUAGUGAGUUUUGCUAUGUCCCUAUGACGGCAUAGCGUACACAACGCAUCAUGAAGUAUGGAUGCCAUUCUGGCACCAACUGUUCCGUUCUUCCUUUCACCAGAAGCUUUGCGUCUUUAAGCUUCCUUUCAUUAGAAUUUGGAUCCAAGUUUGUGGGGAAGACUGUGAAUUCAAUAGAAAGUGUCCUUUUCUUUUCUUUUUUUUUAAUUUAAUUACUUCACCUCAAAUCCCACUUCUCUAAUAAAAUAACUUUUACUGUA
rnacentral:antisense_RNA from 1 species